AGCUAAUCUUAACAAUUUUCACUUAAUAUCAUUUAAACAGGAAAAUGUGAAAUUCAAUUAUACAUCAUCCAAAUCGAGCUCAGCAUUUAAGAUAACUCAUGGAAUUUAACCUUUGUUUUUCCAAACAAAUUGGCAUUUAGCAGCAAUCUGACAUUUAACAUAACUCAUUUGAAAAUUCAAUGUAACGAAAAAGGCUCCAAUUGUCACUUAACUGACUCAUAACUAACUGAGAUCAUUUCCUCUAAUAAUAAGCCUAACACAUAACUCACUGCAUUAACAGAACAACACAUGCACAUAACUAGCUCC
rnacentral:lncRNA from 1 species